rnacentral:tRNA from 1 species
UAGCAAAGUUAGGAGUUGAACCUAAAAACCCUAGAACAUGAGUCUAGGUAGCCACCGCGCUUUUCUCUGCU